AACAUUGCGUUCCAAAAAAAAAAUGCGUUUUAAAAAGCAAUUACCAUGUGUAUUAAAUGUAUAAAUUUUUCACAUUUUAUACAUUUUAUAUAUUUGACAUUGUUUGUCCCUUUUGCUCUGUGAUUAACUCCGGUUUUAGUAUGACAGAUUUUCAAUAUGCAUUGUGUCUUUUUAGUCCCGGUGAUAUUCUCUCCUUUUUUAUUUUAUUUUUUUUUUUUAUUUUAUAAUUUUAGAUUAUCAUUUAACAUGUUUAAACAAAUGUGUGUUUUGUUUAUCUUUUAAGGUGGUACCUAACACUACAUGGAGAUAACUCUGUAAAAUCAGAUAAAUGUUUUAAUUACGUUGUGUUGUUUAGAGAAUAUUAAGCUUCUCGAUGAUCAAAAUAAGUGUUUGUCGAACUGCUAUAUAACCAGUGUAUUUUUUCUGAUAAAACGGUUGGUUUAAAUUUUUUAAAAUUUUUAUAUUUUUGUCAAAGGGUCAAAGUAAAUACUUCGUCAAAAUUUUAUGAAAAUUAAACGAGCCAAAUUAAUUUUAGUUAAGGUGUUGGGUACCACCUUAAAUAGUGUUUUAUUUGUUUUUAUGUGUAUGUUUUAUUCGCCUUUUCACAUUAUAUUCUAUAUUUAUUGUAUCCGUCCAGCAUCUUUUUUCUUUAAAAUGGUAUAAUUUAGGGAACAGUUUGUUACACGAAGGCUUUCCCAAUAUCUAGAUUUAGAGGAAAUAAAAGCACAAAAAUGUUCGUACUUUUGUUCGUUGCUGUUGAAUUAUAUUAACUAAUUUAUAUAAGUAUGUCAAUUUUAUGUAACAGGUGAUUGAUAAAUAUAAAGUAUUUUAAUCGAAGAGGUACGAGUAAAAGGGUGCUUAAUCUGAGACUGUUAUAGUAGUAUCAUGCAAGACUGUGUUUAAAUUGUCGUUCAAUUAAAUCAUAUGAAACUUCAAAUUAUGAAAGCAUUGAUGCAUAUAUUUUUAUAACUAAAUGCAGCUAGUUUUUUUAUUAUUGUAAAACCUAUAUUCAUAUAUUUUUUUCUCAAGAAAGUUCUUUAAUUUGUCCAAAUUUAGAUGAAAUUACCUGUUUUUGAAUUAUUGGUUUCCCAGAAAAUAACUUGCCGACAUUAUGUUCUCCGUUGCAGUGAUCUCAUUGUGACCUUUCUCGUAAUACCCAGGUGAUCGCAUUACGCUUUGGUCCAUCAUAGAAAUAAACUAUAUCUUAGUGUUCAUAUUAUACACGUGCUAACCUCAAUGUCCAUGUUUAUUUGUUGAAUGUUUUACUAAGAUGACAAUAGGUAAACUUUGGCUUCAUUACACGACAAUUAAUUAGCUGCAUAUUUUCACAUCAAAACAGACCGAGUGAAAUAUUCUUAUGACGAUUAUACGAUAUGGAUGCGUAAACAAUGAUAAAAUCGUACACAGAUUGAGAAGAUUAUGUUUAUAAUUAUAUAUACAGGCAUUGGUUCAAAAAUUGGAUGAACAUUAUUUUUCACCAGUCACUCGUUUCAUAUAAUUAAACAAAAAUGGGAAUAACAAAUGCUAUGAUCGUGCCCGUAUUCUUUAAAAAAUACGGAUACUCGAUACUAUACAUUCCCGGGAUUAAUGAAAUAAAAAAACAAUUCUGGCUUACUUUUAUAAAUUGUUACUUGGAUGGAGAGUUGUCUCAUUGGCACUCAUACCACAUCUUCUUAUAUCUAUGAAAUCAUAUUUGAGGAAAACGAAGUAAAAGAGGAAUCGAUAGUUUGUGAAGUCAAAGGGUAUAUAUAUCAUUUAGUUAAGUGCUUAAUGUACUUUUAAAUUCUAUUCUCCGCCAAAUCUGAUAUUGGAAAAGUUCCUUACAAGUGCUUUAGAUUAGUUUAGUUUUGCUCUUUUUCAUUAUGUUAACAUCUAUAUUGCAUUAGGUAUUUUAAGAUAGUUGUAUUUUAGCUCAUUAUUAAGUGUUACAAUUUCUUUAUUCAUUAAAGGAGCUAAUGGACAAUAUUGCGUUGCUUUUAAUUUAUUUAAAACAAAAGUAGGUAGUUAAUGUUAAAAUCAAUUAGUGCAUACACGCCACAUGCAUGUGUAAAAAAUACGUGUGUAGUCUACUUGUUCAAAAAUAAAAAUCAACGAUGAUGUUUCAACAGAUUAUCGGCAAUGGUAGGAGACCAUCCUCCGAACUUGGCGAUUUGGGUAUCCCGACGUUAUAAAAAAUCAGACCCGAGUAUAACGGAUUUAUCGUUAUUUUUUCAUAUUAUUCCCAAUUUUGUCUUCCAUUCUAAUUCAAAUGAAUUAUAUCAUACUAGAGAUCUACUUCAUUUCUGAUUAUGUAUUCCAUGCAAUCUCUAUCAUAAGUAAAACAUUACAUCCAACGUGACGUAUGUCGAUUCUUUGAAAGUUACGGACAUUCCUAUUGGUAUGAUGAAAAAAGUUACGGACAAGUUGUUUUAAAGUUACGGACAGCCUAAGCGUUUUUUCAAAUCGUGCUGUAAUCGUUUAUUUUGUAGACUUUAAUCACUUGUUAAGUUUAGGGGUUCCCUAAACAAUUGAUACAACUUUUUAAUUCAGUGGUUUAAUUAAUGCAUCCAUGGUAUUAUUAUUCUAUAGAAGAGAAUUCCCUAACCGACGCAAGGCGGCUCCAUCUUGGGCUGUGGGUAACUUAAGUUACCCACAGCCUUUUAAGCACAGUGAAUGUGAUAUAUUUCGUUUCAUUAUACUUUCAUAGCAGUCACAUAAAUACAAAUUGAUAGAUUUUCUUUUUGCUAAGAGGACAUACGUCAUCACCAAUAAAGAAAAAUAGUUGUCAUAAAAAUUCAAUAUCUAUCUAUGAACCAUGAACUCGAUAUCAAGGAAAAAUGAACCCUGCCAAACAGACAUAUCAAAACUGACUAGCUCUCAUCAAUAUUGUUGAACUGAAUAGCGGCAACACUUGAUUUUUCUAUUUAAUCUUAAUUUUUAACUGAAGAAAAAUUCGUAAAAUAAAUACACAUAGUACAUUAACUUCAUUCCCGGUUUCAUUUUCUCAAUAUGAUUUGAAGCUCAAUAGUUGAAAUGAUUACGUGACGAUUAAUGUUCAAAUAAUGUGGUAUGCACUGAAACCCUAUUUUUUCUUUAUAAAUGGACAUAUGUCACCAUUGAAUGUAAUGAAUCCUCCUUUUGCUUCAUUACACGACAAUUAAUUAGCUGCCAUAGUGCAUAUUUUCACAUCAAAACAGACCGAGUGAAAUAUUCUUAUGACGAUUAUACGAUAUGGAUGCGUAAACAAUGAUAAAAUCGUACACAGAUUGAGAAGAUUAUGCUUAUUAUUAUAUAUACAGGCAUUGGUUCAAAAAUUGGAUGAACAUUAUUUUUCACCAGUCACUCGUUUCAUAUAAUUAAAAAAAAAUGGGAAUAACAAAUGCUAUGAUCGUGCCCGUAUUCUUUAAAGAUCUUUUUCAUUAUGUUAACAUCCAUAUUGCAUUAGGUAUUUUAAGAUAGUUGUAUUUUAGCUCAUUAUUAAGUGUUACAAUUUCUUUAUUCAUUAAAGGAGCUAAAGGAC
rnacentral:lncRNA from 1 species